GGCUACAGAACGAACGCUGGCGGCGCGUCUUAAGCAUGCAAGUCGGACGGCAAGGGUUGUGCUUGCACAACUCCUAGAGUGGCGGACUGGUGAGUAACGCGUGGGUGGCCUGCCCUCGAGAUGGGGGAUAGCCAUUAGAAAUAGUGGAUAAUACCGAAUACGCUCAUGACCCUGUGGGGAUAUGAGGAAAACAGGCUACGGCCUGGCUCGAGGAUGGGCCCGCGUCCCAUUAGCUAGUUGGUGAGGUAACGGCCCACCAAGGCGACGAUGGGUAUCCGGCCUGAGAGGGUGUACGGACACAUUGGGACUGAGAUACGGCCCAAACUCCUACGGGAGGCAGCAGCUAAGAAUAUUCCGCAAUGGACGAAAGUCUGACGGAGCGACGCCGCGUGGAUGAAAGAAGGCCGGAAGGUUGUAAAAUCCUUUUGCUGAUGAAGAAUAAGUGUGGUAGGGAAUGACCGCAUGAUGACAUUAGUCGGUGAAUAAGCCCCGGCUAACUACGUGCCAGCCGCCGC
rnacentral:rRNA from 1 species